rnacentral:rRNA from 1 species
GACGAACGCUGGCGGCGUGCCUAAUACAUGCAAGUAGAACGCUGAAGGAGGAGCUUGCUUCUCUGGAUGAGUUGCGAACGGGUGAGUAACGCGUAGGUAACCUGCCUUGUAGCGGGGGAUAACUAUUGGAAACGAUAGCUAAUACCGCAUAAGAGUAGAUGUCGCAUGACAUUUGCUUAAAAGGUGCAAUUGCAUCACUACCAGAUGGACCUGCGUUGUAUUAGCUAGUUGGUGAGGUAACGGCUCACCAAGGCAACGAUACAUAGCCGACCUGAGAGGGUGAGCAGCCAGACUGGGAGUGAGACACGGCCCAGACUGCUACGGGAGGCAGCAGUAGGGAAUCGUCGGCAAUGGACGGAAGUCUGACCGAGAAACGCCGAGUGAGUGAAGAGGGUUGUCGGAUCGUAAAGCUCUGUUGUAAGAGAAGAACGAGUGUGAGAGUGGAAAGUUCACACUGUGACGGUAUCUGACCAGAAAGGGACGGCUAACUACGUG